UCAUUGCAGGCUCAGUCACGGUUUCUGCCGACAACAAACUGAACAAGUGUCUGGAUGUAGUUGCCACCGUAACUGCUCUUACUGGCAUUAUUCUCCAUUCUUUAGAUGGUGCUGGGAUCAUGUUGAACUACAACUGGGACUAUCCAUACUACUAUGUCUGUCAACAGUAUUGGGAAUUCUUCUUCAUUGGGAAUCAAAUACCUCAUGGCAGCAUUGUGAUCCCAAGCAACGCACCUGUCACGACUUCGACCGAGGCAGGCUCUCCUUCCCGUGCGGGUGGCGUUCGGCGGUCGUCGUCACCGGCCUAUU